CUUUCUACUCAAGCAAAAUCUUCGUGAAAAGAUCUGCUGCAAGGAACUGAUAGCUUAUGGUUCUCCAUUGUGAUGAAAGCACAUGGUACAGAGUCUUGAUGUGUUGUCCAGGCUGGAGUGCAAUGGCACAGUCUCAGCUUACUGCAACCUCCACCUCCCAGUUUUCCAAAGAAAUUAGACCAUUUUCUUCGUGAGAAAGAAAUCGACGUGCUGUUUUCAUAGGCACUUCCAUUCAUCACUCCAGAUUCUACACCUGACCUGGAAAGGUCUGUGUUAACUCAAACAGAAGCUUGGGCACCUCUUCCUUACUAGAAGGGCAUUCCAGUGAUUGACAUUAGAAAUCAAGUUCCCAGCAUGGCCCUGCCACCAGGCUGGAUUCAUCCAUUGCACUGUCACCAAGGAAUGUUAAGUCUUGGAAACAGAUGGAGGAACUUGCACGGCGUUUCCCAGCAGGCACAGGCGAUUCCUGCAAACUUAGGAGAGUGAAAGUCACACGAACAAGAAUGUAAAUUUGUGUGAGAAGACGUGAUGCUGUUACUAGCAGAGUUAAAGUGCUUUUAACUUUGGAUAAUGGAUAGUCUGCUCUGAUUGCCUCGAAGGUGGAUCUCCAAGCCCACAGAAUGGUCUAAAAGUGGAAGGAAGCUGUAUUAAUCAUUUUCUUAAUUUUCUUUCUUUCUUUUUUUCUCUCUUUUUCUGCUGGGGUCAGCAGGAAUGGGAAUCUUUUUUUUUUUCUUUUUACAUCAGUCUUAUUAUGAUUAUGAUUAUACUGAAAGACCUGGAUGGGAGGAAUGCUGCAAUCUGAAUUAAAAAUAGCAUUUUCUGUCCUCCCACACACAACACUUGAGUGCUCUGAAUGCCUUUUAUAAAUGCAGACUUUCUGCCUGGCUAGAUAAAAGAAGCUGUCACUUCAUUUCCAUAACGAAGUCAUUCCCGGGAGAAUUCCAUUGUUUUAGCAAUAGAAUUUUUGUAAAAGGCCUCUUAUUUUGCCUGAAAAAGGUAACAAAAAUGAACUUUUGAGAGCUUAUUCGACAAAACAAUUAAGUAGUGAAGAGAGAUUUUCUCCUUUUUUGAUAUAUUAGGAGUUGUAAGUGUGAGAAUCCCCUGAGCCAUGAUACUAGGAUAAACCCCUAAAUCUGCAAGAUGAAGGAGGAGGGGAGAAAUACUGUUAUUCUUUCUCCUAAUAGAAAUGGGGAUAUGCUCUUCCCCGAGAAUAUGUGUCCUAGAGCCAAGUGACACAUAGAUGAUGCUAAUUCUAAAGAGUUUUAAAUAUUUAGUCUUAAAGAGAGAUAGGAAACUUGUAGAAUGCUCAUGGUGUAAAGAAAUUCCUUGGGGUUUUUAAUGAAACGCGAUCAUCAGGUAUUUUAACUGAGUUUCAGGACUCUUAAGACAAACCACGGCUGCAUCUUGCCAGCGUCCUUUACUCAUAAAAUAGUAGUUGAUAUUUUCCUUUAUUUGCACUGAAAUUGCAGCAAGUGGAAUACAGGGUCCUUCAUGAUGCAGUGUGACCUGUAGCGAGCUCAGACAGGCCUGUGGACAUGUGGUCACACUCAGCACCCCUCUCCUGUGUUUCCCCAUCCCUCCGCACGAUGGAUCUGUGCUCCAAAUAUGGUAUCAAAUCUUCAGUGCCACAUUCAUAGAAAGAAAGAAUAAUUGUAUUUCUUGUUACUUACCCGGCCCUGCGUAACCCACAUCAAAGUAUACCUGUCUUUGAUGUUUCAACAGGUAAUCCCUAGAUAUAAUGCCAAGUGGCAUUUCUGCUAUGUGGUAUUCACAGUUAAGGCCAUUGAAAUCCCAGUUUUAAGCUAGAAUGCUUUUAUGAAGCCUCCUCCAAAAAAAGAGAAGUUUUCAAUAGCACCUUUGUCUUGCAAUACUUUGUUCUGAUUGCGUCAGAAAAUUGUAAUAUUUAAACAAGGAAGCAGUUACUCGGAAUAGUAUUAAAAAAGGAGUUUAAAGUA